rnacentral:rRNA from 1 species
UACGUAGGGUGCAAGCGUUAAUCGGAAUUACUGGGCGUAAAGCGUGCGUAGUCGGUUAUCUAAGUCAGGUGUGAAAUCCCCGGGCUCAACCUGGGAAUUGCAUUUGAUACUGGAUAGCUAGAGUUCGGAAGAGGCGAGUGGAAUUCCCGGUGUAGCGGUGAAAUGCGCAGAUAUCGGGAGGAACACCAAUGGCGAAGGCAGCCCCCUGGGUCAACACUGACGCUCAUGCACGAAAGCGUGGGGAGCAAACAGG